rnacentral:lncRNA from 1 species
AUGCAAAGUUCUCACAGCUCCAGCCCAAGGCCCCGGCCACCUCCAGCUCUGGGAAGUACGCUGCUGCCUGCUGGACCCAGACCAGGAGAUCCAGGUGGGGAGAGCAUACCCCGCUCCCACGGCCCCGCCAAGGGGACGCAUGUGUUUCCUUUCUGUCAGAGUACAUCCAACGCGGCAGGCACGUUGCCAGGGAGACGUGAGCGCCGGCCUGAGACGGGACAGUCUGCACCCCGCGUUGUCCAGGGCUGGGGACGACACCCGCCGAGGCUGAGAAGGCCGAGAAGGCUGAGAACGGGUAUCGGAGCAGGAAAUGAGCCUAGCGGAGCCUCGGACCUUGGCCCACGGAGGAGGCCGCGCGGGCCCCCAAUUAAAGCUGGUACAUCUGUCGGGGCGGCCUGGGGACAGGCAACAGAUUCCCCCGCAGACAUCUGCCUCAGGAGGAGCAUGCUGGCUGAAGACUCGGGGUGGGGGCGGCCACUGCAAGCUGCUGACUGCGCCCAGGGGAGGGAGGGAGAGAGGGAGGGAAGGGGGCCGGGAGGCGGCUCUUUUUAUAGCAAGCAAACAAACAAACUGUUUUGCUUUAAGAAGCCAAAAAGGAAAAAAGAAAAAGAAAGAAAGAAAGAGAAUAUGUCUCUGCUGGCUACUGGAAGAGCGGCAGGCACCAUCUGGGGCAGCCGAGGGGAGAAGGCGAGGAGCCAGGCACGCAGGGGCCAGGGCCUGCCUUCCGGGGCCCCUCCGACAGCUGGGCACUGGGCCCUGGGAUGCACUGGGCCCAAGGCCACGCUGUGUGUGACUCACCCCGACUCCUCCCGGGAGCCCAGGAUGCUUCCCCGGUUUCCCAGGGGAUGGCUUGAGCCCCAGCCAGCAAUCAAGGCUACAGGCGGCGAGUGGGAGGCCAGGGUGCAGCCCCCCCCCCCGCCCCGCCGGCCCGGGCCCUGGCAAUGUCCGGGUCACUUCUGCACCAUGGCGCUCUGCCUCGCAUGCUCCCAGGCCGAUGGGGCAGGACCACCUGCGCCUCUGCCGUUCUUCCAAUCACACACGUGUCCAUCAAACUGA